rnacentral:lncRNA from 1 species
UUGGACUCGGUGUGGCGGUCGAUUCCUAGCGGCGCCGCUGUACACUGCCCCAAAUCUCGUUUCUCAUCUAAUCCCCUCACCAAGCCUUCCUCUCAUCUUAUCCAUUAGAGGUCGCAUCCUUCAGGUCGUUGCUGCAGCUACUGCUAGAUGUCAUUGCUGUGAGAUUGCUGUUGUUCCCGGUGCCUCUUCUCGCCAUGGUCGCUGCCGUGUGGAGGCUGCUCCCGUUCCCCUGUUCCCUGCGUCGUCAUGGUUGUCGCCGCUGCCGCCUUUGGCCAAUACCGGGUGUGGGUACUUCUGGUUCGAGAUCAAUUGACUCACACUUUGUGCCCCGCGGUUGAGGCAAGUUCAUGGAGGGAUAAUGAUUUUGCAUAUUCCCUAACCGCCAUUUUUAUUUAUGAUAUUCGCCCCAUGUCACUGAUGCUUAUUACUAUGGAGAUGAUGAUGACCAUGCUGAUUCAAGUACUUGCUUGUAUUUGCAUAUUUGCACUCAUGAUGAUAAUGAAAGAAAGAGUGCCCUGCCUCAGGUAGGCACAUUGAGACCUCCAUUGUUGGGUUGUGACCUACUUUGGAGGCAACCUUCCAAUGUUGGAGUGAGUGAAUGUCGACGGGCGUCCACUCAAGCGAUACCGGUAUACGCAUUUAAAUGAGAUGAGCAUUUAGGCAUGUAGGACACCUUUAUAUGUGUUGAAUGUUGAUGAGUGUAUGGUGUUGACAGAGACUUGGUAUAUUGAUAUAAGUGUUGUUUAUUAUUUCUUUAUGAACUUGCUGAGCCUUUGUACUCUUGCUUAUAUGUUUUUAGGUAAAUUCUGAGGAAGACAUGCAUGGGAGUCUUGGGAGUAGCAUCAUCACCGUUUUUACCAUACAGAACUCACACAUAUUGUCCCUUAGGACCGUGUUUUGAGAACCUAGUACAGUUUGUACCUUACUUCACGUGGGAUUUGCCUUGAGUUUGAGAGUUACUCUCUUGGUCUGUAUGGCUUAACUAAUUUCCAUUUAAGACUACCGUUAUUCGCCUAGAGUUAUCGAGGUUGUUCUCGGAUAUGGUAUUGUAGCCUUGUGCUUUACACUGGUGCUAUGUUCCUUGUGUCAUAUAAUUACAUGAAUUGCAUGGCGUGGAUGUCCUUAGAAAUAGAGGAAACUUUGUCGGAAUUUCCUUUGAGGGCAUGUUUUUCCAAAGGUGUUAUGUGGUAAUAUUCCGAGCGCCUUGUUGGCUCGGGGUGUUACACCGAGGAACAUUUCUAUCCCACACUCGCACGACAUGCAUGGCUUUUCAAAU